CCUAUAAACGUAAAAGGCAACUCCAUCUCCGAAAAAUCUCUUGCAAUUACUGAAUCUCUUAGCAGUAAAACCAUUGAAUGGCCGAAGGUUCCCGGAGUGCCGCUUCCUCCGUUGAAAGAUCUUCCACAGCCUUCCAUGCUUCCCAGCAUUGCUGCUGUACAAUCGAACAAACAGAUGGACGAACUAGCUCAAAAAAUGAAUCGGCGGUUAGACGUAGUAGAAUUACUCGACAAAAAUAACUGAACUGCGUUCGCAGGUGUCUGAUCUACACAAAAAAAAACAGAUAAUUCGAAGUUACUCAAUGCUACUCUACGGGAAAUCGAAUCCAACGUCAUCGAGCAGACCAGUUCGGAGAAGCGCACUUUGUUCAAUAUUCAUAGUGAGAAAAUCGAAACUAUGUACAGCAAACAUUUCAGAACCGAGAUUGACGCACCAGCUUGUCAACCGAAUAGGGACUAGCCUGAAUACUCAUCUGGAGAAGACUUGCAAAAUAAUACUUCAAUUUACGAUGUCGAUCGAACAACAGUUGCUGCAAAAAUUCCAUGGUGUAGGUGUAGAGGGUGUACAAAAAACUAUGCGUAAUCAGGUAACUAUUGAUGCUAUCGGUAAUUCUAUCUAUAAGAGUGUUCGAAAAGCAAUGGAAACAUCAUUCCAUGAAGCGUUACGAAACAUCAUUUUACCGAAUUAUGAGCGAUACUCACAAGAACUGUUUUGGCAGCUCAAUAAAGAAUUUUCGGCAUGGUUAAAAGAAUACCUCGACAAAACGGAAACGUUUAUAUCAUGCAGAAAAGUGAACGAAGAGUUGAAACCGCACUAAAAGAACCGUUCAAAAAGCUGCGGCAGAACUUAACUGUCAAUGAUCUAUUCCAACCCGCCAAUGUUGCAGCCUUGCGUAAAGAUCUAAGCAAUGAUUUUGAAGAUUUCCAAGGCAAUUAGCUUAAAAUGAUUUGGGAAAACGUAAGGGCGGCAAUCGAGAAGGCUUUGGAGGCCCAAGCCUCUUCUCUAGAGGACUCAGUAUUGUCAGCGGUGCGGUCGUAAGCAAAAACCCCAGCGCCCGCUAUUUUGGAUCAUCCCGAACACAUAUCCGGCAACUGCUAGCCACGGAGCGCAUAAACGAUGCAUUCGUUAUAGCUCUUCAGUCCAACGAUUUAAAAUAGUGGAGUUCACAAUAAAGCACGCCGAUUACAACUAGGUGUUUAAUCCAUGUGCUCUAGGACAACGGGUGCUGCUGUCACUGAUUCAGCAGAUUGCAGCCAACAUGUCCAAUAUUAACGAGCUUAAGCACAGGUAUCUCUCUGACGCCAUCGUUAAUCUGACCUUCUUCGACCACAUUAUGAAUGAACACAUUCAUAAGGUCCUGUAGGAGGUAGCUCGUAACAUACAGGCAUUUUUGUCAAUGAAUCCCGAACAAGCACUUGCUACCAGCCUUAAGUUUUUAAUGAUUGGCAUCCCAGGCUGUAAAUAUGCCUGAUCUUCGUGGAAGCAACGCCAGUAAAAGGUUCGCGAGGACCUGGUAAUGUUGAG